GCUUCGGUGGUAUAGUGGUAGCACGCGUCGCUGGUAUGGAUGAAACGCGGGUUCAACUCCCGCCUGAGGUC